UACGAAGGGGGCUAGCGUUGCUCGGAAUCACUGGGCGUAAAGGGCGCGUAGGCGGCCAUUCAAGUCGGGGGUGAAAGCCUGUGGCUCAACCACAGAAUUGCCUUCGAUACUGUUUGGCUUGAGACCGGAAGAGGUGAGUGGAACUGCGAGUGUAGAGGUGAAAUUCGUAGAUAUUCGCAAGAACACCAGUGGCGAAGGCGGCUCACUGGUCCGGUUCUGACGCUGAGGCGCGAAAGCGUGGGGAGCGAACAGG
rnacentral:rRNA from 1 species